AUAUCAAUAAGCGGAGGAAAAGAAACCAACAGGGAUUGCCUCAGUAACGGCGAGCGAAGCGGCAAAAGCUCAAAUUUGAAAGCUAGCGUCUUUUAGGCGUUCGCAUUGUAAUUUGAAGAUGGCAACUUUGGUGGCGGCUCUUGCACAUGUUCCUUGGAACAGGACAUCAUAGAGGGUGAGAAUCCCGUACAUGGUGGGAGUACCGUUGCUUUGUAAAGUGCUUUCUAAGAGUCGAGUUGUUUGGGAAUGCAGCUCUAAGUGGGUGGUAAAUUCCAUCUAAGGCUAAAUAUAGGCGAGAGACCGAUAGCGAACAAGUACAGUGAUGGAAAGAUGAAAAGAACUUUGAAAAGAGAGUGAAAUAGUACGUGAAAUUGUUGAAAGGGAAGGGCUUGAGAUCAGUCUUGGCUUGUAGUGAUCAACUGUGUUUCGGCACUGUGCACUCGCUACUUGCUGGGUCAGCAUCAGUUUUGGUGGUAGGAUAAGAACAGUUGAAUGUGGCUUUUCUUCGGGAAAGUGUUAUAGCUUCUGUUGAUACUGCCAACCGGGACUGAGGACCGCGCUUCGUGCUAGGAUGCUG
rnacentral:rRNA from 2 species